rnacentral:lncRNA from 10 species
GGAAAAUAUUUGCAAUACCUGCCACGUCCAAGGUUCAGCUGAGGCCAAUGUAAAGCCAGUAUUAUAGGACACUUCUCAGACUGAGAGCCCAAUGUCGUUGGAAACCACUGGGCCACAGGAAAGGCAGGCUCUCUCAGUCCUGCUCCUGCCAUGGAAGAAGCCUGCUCCCACCAUGCCUUCUGCCACGAGUAAAAGUUCCCUGAGGCCUCCCCAGAAGCAGAUGCUGUCGUGCUUCCUGUAUAGCUGCAGAACUACUUCAAAUCAUCCCAACACCAGAGAACACUAAAUGACAGUGGACAGGAAGACAGUGUACCUUUUGCUCCUGAUGAUCAAGCUGAACUACUUUAUCAUGUCCAUUCUUUGCUGCCAGAUGGAGAGGAGUCAUUCCAUGAAGGUCACCUUCAUUCAGAAGCCUCGUAUCACUUAUGUCUUGUAGGAGCCUCUGACAGGUUAUAAAUUGGCACUGGGAUUUUGUGAGCUACCCACGUGAUUCUAAUGUGCAACAGUUUGAGAAUUUCUGGUCUAGAGAAAAUACAGGCCUUUGCAGUAUCUUGGAGGGGAGCUUGUUG